rnacentral:rRNA from 1 species
CAUGCUUAAAAGGGAGGUAUUGUAAGAUAUCUUACCUGUAUUUAUUAGACUUGAAAAUCGGAGGAAGAAAUUCCUUCUAUGCAGUUGAACCAUAAUAACUAAUUCGCAAGAAUUAAAACGAAUCGUAUCUACCCUUCUAGUGGUGACGAUGAAUCGUUCAAGUUUCUGACCUAUCAAUUCAAGAAGGUAGUGUAUUGUACCACCUUGAUUGUAACGGGUACGGAGAAUUAGGGUUCGAUUCCGGAGAGGGAGCCUGAGAAACGGCUACCACUUCCAAGGAAGGCAGCAGGCGCGCAAAUUACCCAAUCUCAAUACGAGGAGGUAGUGAAUAAAAAUAACAAUCCAGAGCUUUGUAAAAAAAGUUUUGGAAUUGGAAUGAGAACAAUGUAAAUACCUUAACGAGGAACAAUUGGAGGGCAAGUCUGGUGCCAGCAGCCGCGGUAAUUCCAGCUCCAAUAGCGUAUGCUAAAGUUGUUGCAGUUAAAAAAGCUCGUAGUCGAAUUUUUCAUUAUUUACUUUUGUAAAG